rnacentral:rRNA from 1 species
GACGAACGCUGGCGGCGUGCUUAACACAUGCAAGUCGAGCGGUAAGGCCCUUUCGGGGGUACACGAGCGGCGAACGGGUGAGUAACACGUGGGUGACCUGCCCUCAGCUCUGGGAUAAGCCUGGGAAACCGGGUCUAAUACCGGAUAUGACUCCAUGACGCAUGUUGUGGGGUGGAAAGCCUUGUGCGGCUGAGGAUGGGCCCGCGGCCUAUCAGCUUGUUGGUGGGGUGAGGCCUACCAAGGCGACGACGGGUAGCCGGCCUGAGAGGGCGACCGGCCACACUGGGACUGAGACACGGCCCAGACUCCUACGGGAGGCAGCAGUGGGGAAUCUUGCGCAAUGGGCGAAAGCCUGACGCAGCGACGCCGCGCGAGGGAUGACGGCCU